UACGUAGGGUGCAAGCGUUAAUCGGAAUUACUGGGCGUAAAGCGUGCGCAGGCGGUUUUGUAAGUCUGUCGUGAAAUCCCCGGGCUCAACCUGGGAAUUGCGAUGGAGACUGCAAGGCUAGAAUCUGGCAGAGGGGGGUAGAAUUCCACGUGUAGCAGUGAAAUGCGUAGAGAUGUGGAGGAACACCGAUGGCGAAGGGCAGCCCCCUGGGUCAAGAUUGACGCUCAUGCACGAAAGGCGUGGGGAGCAAACGAG
rnacentral:rRNA from 1 species